rnacentral:tRNA from 1 species
UUAGUUAAAGCCAAAAAGAGGCAUGCCACUGUUAAUGGUUGAAAUGAGAAUAAUUCUCUAACUAAG